rnacentral:rRNA from 1 species
UAGCUAGUUGGUGAGGUAAAGGCUUACCAAGGCGACGAUCUGUAGCGGGUCUGAGAGGAUGAUCCGCCACACUGGAACUGAGACACGGUCCAGACUCCUACGGGAGGCAGCAGUGGGGAAUUUUGGACAAUGGGGGCAACCCUGAUCCAGCCAUGCCGCGUGAGUGAAGAAGGCCUUCGGGUUGUAAAGCUCUUUCGGCCGGGAAGAAAUCGCAUGGGCCAAUACCCUGUGUGGAUGACGGUACCGGAAUAAGAAGCACCGGCUAACUACGUGCCAGCAGCCGCGGUAAUACGUAGGGUGCGAGCGUUAAUCGGAAUUACUGGGCGUAAAGCGUGCGCAGGCGGUUUUGUAAGACGGGCGUGAAAUCCCCGGGCUUAACCUGGGAACUGCGUUUGUGACUGCAAGGCUAGAGUACGGCAGAGGGGGGUGGAAUUCCACGUGUAGCAGUGAAAUGCGUAGAGAUGUGGAGGAACACCAAUGGCGAAGGCAGCCCCCUGGGUCGAUACUGACGCUCAUGCACGAAAGCGUGGGUAGCAAACAGGAUUAGAUACCCUGGUAGUCCACGCCCUAAACUAUGUCAACUAGGUGUUGGGUAGGUAAAACCAUUUAGUACCGUAGCUAACGCGUGAAGUUGACCGCCUGGGGAGUACGGCCGCAAGGUUAAAACUCAAAGGAAUUGACGGGGACCCGCACAAGCGGUGGAUGAUGUGGAUUAAUUCGAUGCAACGCGAAAAACCUUACCUACCCUUGACAUGCCAGGAACUUGCCAGAGAUGGCUUGGUGCCCGAAAGGGAGCCUGGACACAGGUGCUGCAUGGCUGUCGUCAGCUCGUGUCGUGAGAUGUUGGGUUAAGUCUCGCAACGAGCGCAACCCCUGUCGUUAAUUGCCAUCAUUUAGUUGGGCACUUUAACGAGACUGCCGGUGACAAACCGGGGGAAGGUGGGGAUGACGUCAAGUCCUCAUGGCCCUUAUGGGUAGGGCUUCACACGUCAUACAAUGGUCGGUACAAAGGGUUGCCAAGCCGCGAGGCGGAGCCAAUCCCAGAAAGCCGAUCGUAGUCCGGAUUGCAGGCUGCAACUCGCCUGCAUGAAGUCGGAAUCGCUAGUAAUCGUGGAUCAGCAUGUCACGGUGAAUACGUUCCCGGGUCUUGUACACACCGCCCGUCACACCAUGGGAGCGGGUUCCGCCAGAAGUAGGUAGCCUAACCGCAAGGGGGGCGCUUACCACGGCGGGGUUCGUGACUGGGGUGAAGUCGGAACAAGGUAGCCGUAGGGGAACCUGCGGCUG